GAAUGCUUCGUUCUCGGCUGGGGCUGAACCUCCUGCUAGAUUUUGAACCCUAUCUCUUUCCAUUCUACCCUCUUUGUUCUCUCACCUGUAGAAGUAAACGAUCUACGCUUCUUGCAAAACAGAGAUGUGGUUUGUGCAAGUAAAUUAUUUAGGGUUUCUGUGGCUAUUGUAGGUGGUUUCUGGUCACGGCAAAACUUGAGGGGAAAUGGUCGUUAUUUUUGUUGAAUAUGAAUAUGCGGCGUAGUAUAGCAGAUCAAGAUCACUUCCAAUUUUCUACCUCUCUCUCUUAUUAACAAGUUCCAUAACCUGAGAAUGAAUAAGGAAUUAGUCUCACUGAGUUGGAGAAGAAGAUCUUCGGAGAAGAAGAUCCUCAGGGCUUUUCAGAUUGGCAGCUGCAACCCCCUUCAGCGACUACAGGUAUAUCUAAAAUUUAACCCUUUUCUUUAUCAUCCCCAUAUCGAUUGAUAUUUGAGAUGCUUCUGUCGACUCUCCUUGCUAUUCCAAUUAUUGGAAGAACGUGUAUAAGUUCGAGCGGAGAAAUGCAAGUAAUUGCCAGAUCUUUUAGUUAUAAGCGGAUAAGCGAUCUAGAGCCAACUUCGGAUGCAAAAUUGCUACAGAAUAUUUCAUCUUAGAGGAAAAAUGAAAUAUGAAUAUGCGAGGUCUUCCCAGUUGUGCUUGCAGCGUCUAAAUCCUCUGUAGCCUCUCUCAUCUUAUACACAAACAUCUAGCAAAGAUGGAUCGGCAGAAGCUUAUGAAGAUGGCCAGUGCAGUACGAAUCGGUGGUAAGGGUAGCAUGCGAAGAAAGAAGAAUCCUGUUCAUAAGACUACAACAGAUGACAAAAGGCUCCAGGGCACCCUGAAGAGAAUAAGGUAAAUGCCAUCCCUGCCAUUGAGGAAGUCAACAUAUUCAAGGAGGACAUCGUCAUCCCAUUUCUAAACCCCAAAGUUCAAGCAUCGAUUGCUGCCAACACUUGGGUUGUUAGAGGUUCUCCUCAAACAAAAAAGUUGCAGGAUCUUCUCCCUGGAAUCAUCAACCAAUUGGGUCCGGAUAACUUGGACAACCUGAGAAGGCUGGCAAAGCAGUUCCUGAAGCAAGCACCUGGUGCAGGUGCAAUCCAAGGGAGGAGGGUCAAGAGAUCUCUCGAACUCUGCUUUCCCAACUUCUCUAUACAAGAUCUCCCACCCAAUCUGUCGGUUAAAUGGAGCGAAGGACGACGAUUCUGAUAAGUCGACUCAGAUAAGGGUGUUUUACUCAUAAGGGCUAAAGUGUUAUUUCAUAGCAUCACUUAACAGAGAUUGACGGUAAGGGGUCUAAGUCUAAUUUGGUGAAAGAGAGGGGGUGUUCCUCUAAUAUUGGCAUUCUCCAGGGAGUGGCGAUGUAAAUUACCCAAAAAAAAUUUGUUGCUUUCAACUAAUUAAGGAUAUUAGAGUUUGAAACUCUGUUCAGGCUUAAGAAAUAGUGAGUAGCUCUACCUAGGCAUCAGUAGUUGCAUCUAUGAUGUGCCUUCUUUCUUGCUUUUUGGGGAAGUAUUGAUCCCUAUGAGCUGCUUAGCCUAAGAAGCAGGGUAUGUGGACUUCAGCUCAUAGAAGUCCAUUUGGCUGUACUUUUAUUGGCAUAAAUGUUUGUAGAACUGGCACAGAAAUACAGUAAAAUCAAAUAUAUUAAUUGGAGAUCA